AAUAAAUUGUAUUAUAAACACAAAGUCUAACCUCCGGUUUUUCAUACGAGAAAAUCGUUUAAUGUUGAAUGUUAACUAUAAUUUUACAUAUCAGGUACAAGUAAAAUGUUUUCUUAGUUAGAAAUCAAUGAUAAGAGACAACGAUCGAACCACAGACACGAAAUAAGUUGUAUAGGAUACCGAUCGAAUAUAUGAUAAAUAAAGAUCAAAUCUUCUCACUUUUUUAUAAGGCAAACUACAACUAAAUACUCUAACUAAAUACUCUUUGCAAACUAUAUCAAUGUUUAUUUUAGAAUAUUCUAAGGCCGUGAUAGAAUGGAUAUGCACUUUAUUACACUAGGGUUCCUCCAUUCUAGACUUUAAACUGGUUAUAGUUGAUUUUUAUACCAACUUUGUCUUAAAAGUGUUAUCUGUCUUGCCAAACAGUGAGAACUGGGCAGAUUCAGAAAAACAUUGAUAAGACCUUUUCAUUCGGUAUCCUGUAUAUCUUAGUUCGUGCCUAAAGAUCAAGGAUUAAUAAUUAUAACAAUUAUUAUAUUAUAUUAUAUUAUAUAUGAUCACAUGUUUUUAUUAUCUAUGAUUGACAACGUCAAACAGCCAAAACAAAAUGUAUUUUCACCUAGUUCGACCAUAGAUAACAAAAAUAUUCUGAAAUCUCUG